GCCUAGGUGGUUCAGUCAGUUGAGGAUCUGACUUUGGCUCAGGUCAUUAUCUCAGUUUGUGGGUUCAAGCCCCACAUUGGGCU
rnacentral:tRNA from 1 species